CUUCCAGCAGUUGAACUGAACUUUGAGGAAAAGAAAUGUUCAGAAGUCUCACUUCUGAGUAGACUGGCCUCACCGAUGGCAGCCGGCCAGGAGUUAAGCCAACAAGAAGCCCUAUAAUGGAUUCUGAAGCAGGCCUGGAGUCUAUGGGCUCUCAAAAUAGCCUCUCCUGGUGGCAGCUAUCUUUCCCUUCCCUGCAUUGAACUUCUUUUCCCAAAUGAAUCUCAGUCCUCAGUAAAGUCUUAGGAAAAGCCUGACCUCUCUUAUUUCUUGGGAAUUAAGAAAAGAGGAUGGGAGGCAGGAUUUGCAAAGAAAGCAGUCCCUUUGCCAAGUGCAUGGUGGUGUCAUCAGUAGCAAAUCCCCAUGGGAACACCCAGCAGCCUUGGUCAGCUGUGGAAACAGCACUGUGACAAUUUGCUCUUGAGGUAGAAUCAGGGUGAAAGAAGGACAAAGAGCCUGAGGGAUUACCAUGGGAGGAGAUCACCAAGAGACUUUUAGCCAGGAUGAGGAUGUGGGAUUUUAUCUGAGAGAAAUGGGAAGCUACUGGAAGGAAGGUGAUCUUCAAACACUUUUCAACGAUUAGAUGUAUAAGAACUUCUUUCAGUGAUUCUGUAAUGGAAAGAAUUCCAUAGAGUUCAAAAUGCUUGCUAGGCCCAACUCGGCCCUCCUAAAUAAGGUGGAUUUGGGCAAUUCUUUCUGCUGGUAGUAUUGCUUUGGGAGAAACUAAUCCUGUUAUCCUGACUUCAUUUGUUAGGUCUAACAAUCAAAGUAUGAGCAAAGCAAAGUCACCGUUGAAUAAACUUGACAAAAUGGAAGAGAAUUUGAGGUGGUUUGAUGUGAAAUUCGUCACAAUUUGGUCCUUAGCAUAUCCCCUAACCUAAAGUCAAAUAGAGCAGCACAUAGGUCAUAUUGAGGUUUUACGGACCUUUCUAGCAACCUUAAGACACUUAACUAACACCAAAGCUAUAACAUGAAACCUGAACUGCUUUUCCUAGUUCCAGGCUUCUCUUUAAUUAUAGUCGCAUUUGUCUCUCAAUAGACUUUUAAUUUUCAUUUCUACCGAGAAGCAUCCUUGGCCCUUAUUAGAUGCUCACCAUCCCAUGCAAACAGACUGAUACUUCUCGGCUUGUUCUCACACAUAUUAAUUCUAUUUAAUUUGGAAUACCUCUCCUUUUGUUUAUUUUUAAAAGUGCAUAAAUACUGCAUGAAUACAAUCUUAGUGCAAACUAUUUAAGGCGUAUAUUAAUAAGGAGUGUAAAAUCUGAAAAUUCCCACCCAUCUUAACCCCUAAAUCCACUGCUGAUCCCAAAGAUAAAUAGCAUCAAUAGUUAUAAGAGAAUCCUUCCAUUCUGGCGUUUACGUAGCCAUAUCUAUCUGCCUUUUUAUAGAUUUACACGUAUUUUAAUUACACACAUUUUAAUUUAAAAGGAACCAUAUAAUAUAUGUUGUUUUGCAACUUGAUUUUUCCACUGUCUUGGAGAACUUUCUGUAUCAGUGCAAAGAGAUCUAGCUCGUUCCUUUUAACCAUUGCAGAGAAUUUUUUUGAACGGACAUGCCAUUAUAUACUUUAACCAUGCCUCUGCAGUCAUGAUGAGUUUUUCCAAAUGUUUUAUGAUUAAGACAAUUUUGAAUAAAUACACAUCUUUAUGCACAAUUUUCAGCAGUUACUCUGGGAUAGAUUGGCAGAAGUGGACUGACCUGAUCACAAGGAGCUGACAAUUUAAAAAUUUAAUAGGUAUAAGAAAAUUGCUUUCAAAAUUAUUUUAUAUUCUACUAACUGUUGUUGAGAAUACUUAAUUCUCUGCAUCAUUCUCAAUAAUAGGUGCUAUAGAGAUGCCUGGGGGGCUUAGUGGUUGAGUGUCUGCCUUUGGCUCAGGGCAUGAUCCCUGAGUCCUGGGAUUUAGUCCCACAUCGGGAUCCCUGCAGGAAGCUUGCCUCUCCCUCUGCCUGUGUCUCUGCCUCUCUCUCUGUGUCUCUCAUGAAUAAAUAAAUAAAUAAAAUCUUAAAAAAA
rnacentral:lncRNA from 1 species